rnacentral:lncRNA from 1 species
UCUUAUACAACUUGAGCAUGGUAUAUUUUUGUGUUUUUUAUAUUUAAAAUAUUUUUUACUUAGUCUAAUUAUAUGACACCUUAAAUCUCUUCAUACUUGACAGAUAGCUUGACAAAUCCCGUCCUUACAUGAUUUCUAGUCUUAAGUUGCCUCAAUCCUCAGGUAAGUUUUGACUUCUUGAUCGGUUUAGUUUACUUUUUGUUAACGAUUUGGCUCUGUCAAGGUGGUUUAUGAUAGUUUCUGCUACUUGGUGAUAUAUAUAACUUUAAUGUUUAAUGAUUUGUUAAUAUUUAAGAUGGAGUGUUAACGUGAGACAAUUACGUGUGCCUUGAAACUUGAAAGAGGUAUAUUGUCUUAUUUUAUAUAUUAGAACUUGGUUUGAAGCUUGCUAAUGAGAUUUUCAUUUUCAGGUUCUUUUCAAUGUUGUGACUAUGGCUAAAUCUUGAUGGAUUUUGGUGAGCAAUAAGCCUUUAUUUUUGGAGGAAUAGAGAACUC